rnacentral:rRNA from 1 species
AUACGGAGGGUGCAAGCGUUACUCGGAAUCACUGGGCGUAAAGCGCGCGCAGGCGGUUUUUUAAGUUGGAUGUGAAAGCCUACGGCUCAACCGUAGAACUGCAUCCAAAACUAUUAGACUAGAGUGUGGGAGAGGAAGAUGGAAUUAGUUGUGUAGGGGUAAAAUCCGUAGAGAUAACUAGGAAUACCAAAAGCGAAGGCAAUCUUCUGGAACACUACUGACGCUGAGGCGCGAAAGCGUGGGGAGCAAACAGGAUUAGAUACCCUAGUAGUCC